rnacentral:rRNA from 1 species
AUACGAGGGGUGCAAGCGUUAAUCGGAAUUACUGGGCGUAAAGCGUGCGCAGGCGGUUUUGUAAGUCAGAUGUGAAAUCCCCGGGCUUAACCUGGGAACUGCGUUUGAAACUGCAAGGCUAGAGUGUGGCAGAGGGGGGUGGAAUUCCGCGUGUAGCAGUGAAAUGCGUAGAUAUGUGGAGGAACACCGAUGGCGAAGGCAGCCCCCUGGGUCAACACUGACGCUCAGGCACGAAAGCAUGGGGAGCAAACAGGAUUAGAAACCCCUGUAGUCC